AGAAAGUGCAAUAACAACUAUCCCGUGACAAUAAAUAGACACAUGGAAACAUAUAUAUUAAGAUGCCAAUAACCUAUAGGUCAAAGAUAAAAUAUCGACUUAUUCUAUUUGGAAAUACUUCGAAAAAUACAUCUUUACACAAUUUUUCCUUGCUCCUUUGUUUAGAAGGCAACAUGGCUAACGGAACACCAAAUCUCAGGUAAGAGUUCUAUAGACUUCCCAAGAUGACCGGAAAGACACAAUCUGAAAGCACUUUUUAAAGAGAUUUUUGAAAAGCUAGUAAAAGCCAAAUUAAUUCUUUUCUACACCCUUAAGAUUUAUCCUACUAUUAUCUUCUAGAACUUUAUAGUGUUCCAUAGUUCUAUAGAUACUUUUUAGCUAGUACAAUUAUCUUACAAUAGUAGAGGAGACGGAAGCCUCUCAUGGAAUGUCGGAAGACCUGUUACAGGGUCCUGCAUCCAAAUGAAAGACCAGUAAAUACAAGGAAGCAGAAAAAUUAACAGAGAUUCAAUAGGAGAGGGAGCACUACUUGCCUUUAACCAAAACACCAGUGACCCAAACAAUUCAGUUUAUGGGUUCAGAUCUGAAUUGGUUACUGGUUUUGAUUUAGAAAAAUAUAAGUUCUACAAAGUUUUUAGUUAUCAAAAAGCCUGGUUGUUGCAUCAUAAAAUAAGCUAAAAAAUAGAACCGUGUGGUUCAGUGAUUGGCUUGCCCCUUAAAGACGAAUAUCUAAAUUGAGUGAAUUCCAGCCUCAAAGUUCAACGCUCUGAUUAGAAAGGAAAAUUUAGGAAAAUUGUCAUUGGCUGGAGUAAAGAACACACCGUAAAAGGAAGGGAACUCAGGUUCAGGUCCAGACUUCUCCACGAUCCCCACUCCUCAGUGAAAAGUGGCCACAUCCAAUGGAUGACAUCUUUCCAGCCAACCUACAAUCAGCAAAAGCCUCAACUCAUGCAAUUGCUGUCUUUACUCAAAGAAAAUAAGACUAAAAUGCAGGGGAAGGACUCAUAUAACAUUAACAACCUAACAGGGUUGAAACAAAAUUGACGAUCAAUCAGCUGGUAUUAGUACUGAAGAAGCUUAUACCACAGGCACAAAAUUUGAAAUGUAGAUGAAGAUUUUACUAGAAUCACAGCCAUAAGUCCAUCCAUUAACUCACUGUACAUUUUAAAUGAAAAGUGGAACUGAUUUUCCAAAUGAAAGUCGGUGAAUAAUAUACCAAGCGGCUACAGAAUUCGUCAAGUACCUUGUCAGUGGGAGCUUCCUGGAGAUGGUUAUAUAAACCUGGAUGUUCUUUCCUAAAUUGCCGUUCAAAUGAUGAUGGAGCACUACAUUGCAUGAGGAGAGCAAAAAGUCAGACAAACAAGCAGUGUAGGUUCUGCAUUAACAUCCAACCUAAGUGUCCAGAUACUAGAGAAAUUUCAAAUGCCCAAGAUGCUUCAGAAUGAACAGAUGAAAGAUGAGCAUAUUUUACACAUAAGUAAGGGAUUCAUGAGUUUAAAUGCUUGGCCUCCAUAUACUCAAACAGGUCUACCUUACUAGUAACAAAGAAAGCAAGUGAGUCCAGAACAAGAAGUUCAUGGAGAGAUGUUCAUCAAGUUCAUUGCCAUACGAAGCAAAUCCAUGGUAUACCAAUUAACAAAUUAAAGGAGCCAUAAAUUGUUGUAACUUGUAAAUAAAUACAUAGUUAAAGACAGAGGUAAAGACAAUAUGAUUGUUAUCGAAAGAAGGGAAAUAAGAAAGUUUCUCUUGCUACCUAUAGGGAACAACAUAAGGAGCAACCACAAUGCAACGGACCCGAAAAAGCUCAGCAAAACUCCAACCUUCCUGGAACUCAAGUUAUACGGUGAAAAAAACAAAGCGUUGCGACUGUACUAUAAUUGACAAUGACUAUACUUCCUGUACAUAUAAUUGAAAGCAAUUCACCUCCUCAUUCCUUCUCUCCACAUCCUCCUCCCCCAAACUUUCUACCCUUCUAAGGAGAUAGACUCGCCAAGCUCAUCUUGAUGAAAGGAAAUUUCCUCUCUAAAAACAAAAAUUAAAAGGGAUAUAGAACAAUUAAAUGCCAGAGAAUUUACCAGAGCGAAGAAAUUAAUAGCAAUAACAUCGCCUUCCACUGAGCUAUCUCCAAAGAUAUCCUCAAUAAUCGAAGUACACUCAUACCUAUGUUUCUGGAUAAUUUCCCUUUUGUGGGCAGAAAAAGAUAACUCCAUCUUACCUGAUCAACAUGCAGUACUUGAUUGAUGAUAUAUUGGGAUAAGAACAAACAUAACGAAGCUGUAUAAAGUGACAUACCACAAUGUUCAAGAGGGGAAACAACAGGUGGCGAUGAAACCGGUAUAUACGUAACUUUAUUUGCUCUCAAGUGCACCAUCAAGUUCUGUCAGGAACAAAAGGAAAUAAAAGAAAGAAAAAAAAACUCUGAAGCAUUCAGUGUCAACUUUCUGAAAUGCCACAUAUUUAUGUUCAAAGAGAAAAGAAUUUGGCUGCCUUAUCCAGCCUAAAGGCUAAAUUAUCUGGGUUUCUUUCCAGGGCUUGCUGAAAUCAAACUAGAUCACUUUAUAUAAACACAAACAACACAAUAACAUGUCCAAAAACAAUCUCCUCUUAAAAUUGCGACAACAAGCAACAAAUAAGAAUUGUUCUGCUUUUGCUAACCUCAUGAGCUGAAUGAGUGAUAAAAACCACUUGAUAUUGCUCUUGAUCACAAGCAAACGCUGCAGCAAUGGCCUAUUCAUCAAGUCACUAAUUAAAAUAUAUGGCACAAGUAAAAGAAAACCUCUAUAUAGGUAAUUAAUGAUUCAUACAAACAUUUCCAUUGUAUAUUGUGAAGGGAAUAUACAAGGCCUGUCAUGAAAUUCAGCACAAGAAAGAUAACCCAAAACUUUGAGCCUACAGAAACCAGUACAGCACAAAAUCCAGAAAUAGAAACUAUUUCAAUAUUGACACACAGAUAAAUGUAAAGGGGCGAAAAAUUAUUCGAAUAUUGAAUGUUUAGAUAAAUUUUCAAUUAGUUGCAAUAACAAUUGAAUGUCAAUGCGAUGCAUUACAUUUACACACACAAAAAAAAAAACGAAGAGGAGGAAGAGGGUUACGGCAAGAGGGUAGAUAUCGCCUUUAGUUCCGAAAGCCAUGAAAACAGCGACUGGUUUGCUCCUCAUCUUCUUCAAUUACUCCUUCCUUCACUUUACGACUUCUGGUUCUUAACAAUUUUCACCUAUUUUUGUCAUUUUUUCUGAAAUUCAAGGAUACAUCAGAAUUUUAUUUUAUUUUAUUUUUUCAGAAUGUGCAUUUUUUGCUGCAAAAUUCUAAAAUAGUUACUCCUCCAUUAAUAAAAUUAAAAUAAUAUUAAUUAUUUUUUCCAUUUGGUUAAAUUUUUAAAAUGAGAAAAAAGUUUAUUGUGUUUCAUCAAUAAAUUUUAAAAGCGUUUUAAAGUAAUAAUUAGUGUUUGAGUAUUUUUCAAGAAACCUACUAUAACGAUCAACAACUAUAGUUAGUCGAUAUUGUUUGCCACCAUUACUACUAGCCCACUCAUUAUCACCACACUCCCAACAUAAUCCCAAUCGACACCUACAACCAUCAUUGCUAGCAAUCAUCACCUUUAAUUGUCAUAUAAUUUUUAAAAGUAUCUUAAUAUAGUAUAAAUAUACAAUUUAAUAGUUCAUUUAAAUUUUAUAUUAUUAAUUCUAAAGAAAUGUAAUUUCACAUAUUCACAUGCUGAAAUAACAAAUAGUCUUAAUUGUUUAGUAUAAAUUUUUUAGUAUAAUAUCUUAAUAUUCAAGUAUGCAUUUAGUUUAAAAUGUCUCAAUCUUUAACGAAAACAAUUAGGAAUUAAGGAGGUGAAAGGAAUACAAAUAUUAAAUUGAGAUUAAAUAAUAAAUAAGAGUAGUUUAAUCAAUCAUCCUUGUAAUUAAUAUUUUUUUAAAAAGAAAUGCAAAAGAAAAAUGUGACAACCAAAAUGAACCUAAGGGUAGCACUAGAUAUUAGAAAUAUUUCUUGAUAUUGAUCGACACAUAAAAAUGAUUCUUCCAAAUUCCUUUUAUUCUGUCCUAAAAAAGAAAUCAACCCCUCAUAUACUUGGAAACUAUUUAAUUUAGCAUUCAUAAAAUGUUUCCCUCUAAGUUCAUUUUAGGUGAUUUUUAAAGGUUUUGACCAGAUUCCUUUUAUUCUAACCUAAAAAAGAUUGACCCAUUAUAUACUUAGAAACUAUUUAAAUUAACAUCCAUAAAAAUGCUUUUCUCAAGUCAAUUUAGGUAAUUUUUAAAAAGAUUUUAACCGAAUUCCUUUUAUUCUAUUUUUAAAAAAUUGACCCCUCAUAUACUAGAAAAUUAUUUAAUUUAGCAUUUAUAUAUUGCUUCCCACUAGUCCAUUUUAGGUGAUUUUUAAAGAUUUUGACUAAAUUCCUUUUAUUCUAUCCUAAAAAUGAUCGAUCCAAUGGUACUCAAAAACUAUUUAAUCUAACAUUCAGAGAUUAUUAUCCCCUGUCCAUUUUAAGUGAUUUUUAAAAAGAUUCUCUCAUUAAAAAAAGUCAACUAUUAACAUUAAUGAAAUGAGUUAUUUUAUUAAACAUUUGUUUAAUAAUUUAUUAGACAAGGAUAAUUUUGGAAAAAAAGUUAUUAAUAAAUUUAUGGAAUUUUAAAUUCAACAACCAUAUUUAGACAACUUUUUAUUUUACAUUACUAUCGUGCAAUUUUGAUUUAAUAAAGCAAUACAUUUUUGGACAGUGAAUAAUAAAUAAUAAAGAAAUCGCAUCAACAACAACAACAAUAUAAAGAUAUUCAGAAGCAAGACUUUUAAUUUUAUAAUUGGACACUAGACCAUUAAAACUAUUACCUUAUUUGUUAAAAUCAACUAAUUGAAGAUUGAAAGGUACUAUUUAGUCAACCAUUGCCAACUAAAAAAGGAAAUUUAUAGUCAAAGCAAUUACCAUUCUUGAACCAAAGCAAGUACAUAAUAAAUUGUCUUAAUAAGAUCACACAAUAUAAUCACAUGCUUAAUUUUGGUGAACAAAGUUACUCAAUAGACAACAAGGAUGCCUUGCUUGUCUUGUUUUAGUGACCAAUAUUCAACUUACUUGAUGUUUCUUUCAAGAAUCAAUAUGCCAUUAUGCAUUGAUCAUUAAUUUGCUUAUCGUGACAUAAAAACUAAAUACUUUUCCAUUAAACAAAGAAUAUGCAAGGCUCUUCCCCGUAAGAUAUUAGUGGUGCCGGCAAAUGAGUUGAAAAUGGGUCAAACAAAACUGAACUCGCUCAUAUUUCAUACACUAAUGGGUAUGAUCACUUUGCUUUUCAGGUUGACCAUUAGAUUUCUGAGAAUCCAGCAAGUUAAAUCAUCACAAAGAGGCAGAGGCUAAGCCAGAACAUCUGUGUUGAAACUGCAGCUGAAAGAAGCACACCAUUUCGUCAUUAAUAAGCUUCAAACAUACUCCAGUAGCCUUGAAAACAUGAUGUGUGAGAACCUUAAAAAGAGCACAUCAAUAAUGCACUACUUUGACAUAUGAACUGAACAUCACAACUCACAAGUGCAAUAAAUAAUGUUUCCACUAGAUUAAGCUGAUUGAAUAAAGAUUGAUUUUCACAAGAGAUGGGAACAGUGAAAAACAACCAACAUAAGCUUAAACCAACAUACUGAGACAUCAUUGACUGUUAGAACUUAUACAUCCAUGUACUCAGGGCAAAGGACUAUACUGUGUACCUACUUCACAUUCGAGUAAACAAGCAAGCAAGGGAAAUACCAUUAUUACUAGUAUCAAUUUAUCAAACACAAUCUUAUCUAGUAUAUUCAAACGUUUCCAAGUCAUGUUGGAUAGGAAGUUAAAAUGAGAAAUCUGGCAAGGAGACACCUCAUAUAUUAUGCAUUAGUAAUCUUGAAUACGAAUCAUGAUGAGCUUAAAUGAAGUAAGAUAAUAAAGAUUCAUAGAGUCGCCCCAACUAGCUUGAAGUGAGGCGUGAUAGUGGUUGUUAAUUGGAAGUCAGUGAGAAUGACAUAAAGAAAAAUCCAUCUGCUUAGAUACACGAAAUUCUGUCAAUAGCGACAGAUAAAUGUGCAAGCACAGUAAGAUAGAAAAAAUAAGUACCGCUGCUGCAUCUCAGUAGCAGGGACUGGACUGGAAAAGGAAACAUCCAUAACUGAAUCCAUUAAACAAUAAAAUGAUUGCCAAGACCAUAAUAGAUUAUCUGCAUUUCAAGAACAAGGAAAUAUUGUUUAGAUGAGUCAAUAUCAUCUUACCAAAAUAUUGCGAGUCGAGUCGUCAGAACAAACAGUUGAGAUAAGUACCUCAGAAAUCGACAAUAAAGCUGCCAAGAAAAAACAUGAGAACAUUCAUGAUUUGGAAGUUCACUAAGGUGUAUUCAGACAGUCAAUUGGAAAGUUUUUGGCAACUGAUUUUCUUUUCACUUGGUUAUUUGGCAACUCUCUUAUUUGCUCACUCUUAGAUAUUUCAAUUAUCAUAUAGAAAAUAUUUAAUACUCCCUUGUCUUAAGAUUCGUUGCUUAACAAGCCUUGACCACUAAACUAAAGGCCUAAAAUUGUGAAGAUUCACCAAAUCCAGCAUUCACCCAUCCACUCCAACCCCAAAUCCCCACUCCCAUUUUUUUUUAUAGAGAAUCUAAGAUUUCUCUCAUUGGAGUUCUAUUGUCAAUAGUUGAGAAAUUACAGUAAUCAAAAUUGAUGAGCUGUCACAAAAGGGAAAACAGAAUAGAUCAAAGUUAAUGACCCCGUAUCAUGAUUAAUCUAUUUCCAUAAAUAAAUGACCAGCUGUAGUCUACUGAUUUCUUAUCUGUCUAUAUAUUUUAUCCGUCGCCUCAGUCAGACAUUUUUAGAUUUUGAAAGCAAAUCCAACUCUAACGUUAGCAACAGUAGCUUCAACCUGAUUUGAACAGGAAUCAUUCAGAACCAGAUUUUAUGGGUAAACAAGGGCCAUGUUGCCAUUGUAGCAUCAAGCGUAAGUUCUAUUAACCACCUAUAUCCCGCCUUUUAUGUUUAUCAAUAAUCUCUUGCUUUACAGGAUAAUUGAUUCAGUGAUAUUUAGAAUUUAUGUGCCUGAUGUUAAGCAAAUAAACAUUGAAGAAUCACAUGCCUGAAACACUAAAUAACCAAAUUUCCCUAAAUUGCCGAUCUGUUAAACAUAAAACAUAGCGAACUUGAAUUUUCUCACCUCUCGAGCCAAAUGUUAAUUGAUUUUCAAAACAGCUCCCCUUAGUCUAACAGGAACCGAGGUCAUCUUGGAUAAAUUGUAGAUUUGGUCCCCAAUCCCUGGCAUAGAUGCACAUUUUGGACCCUGCUGUCUCCCGCUUCAUAUUUGGCACCAAUGACCCUGCUCCACAACAACUGUCUGUCAUUGGCAUAUCUCCAUAACCACUCCAUUCUAAGAGCUUUGCUUUGAAAUUCCAGAUUCUUUAUCCCAAGCCCCCAUUCUUCUUAGCAGUCAUCACAGAUUUCUAUUUUACCAGGUGGUACCCUUUCUUUUCUUUGUUUCCCAGCAACAAAAACUCUCUCUUAAUGUUGUCCAACCUUUUGAUAACCCCUGGUGGGAUGGGAAAUAAACGCAUCAUAUAAGUUGGUAAAGUAUCAAGGACUGAAUUAAUGAGAGUCGGUCUUCCUCUAAGGAGAGGUAUUGAGUUUUCCACCUGGCUAGCUUUUUUUCACACUUCUUUAUCACUCUAUCCCAUAUUUGUAUAGAUUUAGAUUUAGCCCCCAGAGGUAGUCCCAAGUAAAUUGAUGGCAGACUGCCAAAUUCUCCAUCAUGUAUAGCAGCUAGCCAGUUCACGUUGGUGACUUCAUUUAUAGGAUACAUUAGGAUCUUCCUCUAAAAUCUAUGUUGCUUGGACUCUCUGAAAUUGUUGCCGCACCCGUGUCGAAUUCUCCAAAAUGCACUACUUUUGGAGUAUCCGACAUGCACAACUUGACAUUUUUGAAAAAUCUGAGCAACAUAGACUAUAAUACCUACUCCAUUCCUACUCAAACUUCCUGAUUACCUUAACUUGAACCCACCUAUAUCCCUAGUCUUAGUUCCUACCCAUUAGGUGUCCUAAACACAAGGUAUAUUUUUAUUUUAUUUUGAUAACCGAGAAAUCCGUCUGUGACCCGCCCUUUGGACCAAUCACAGCCUUCUAAACUCAGUGGAUAAUGGGCCCGCCCCUCUACCCUUCUCCACUUAAAUACCAGGCUUCGCUUUGCAUGGUGUGGGGAUUGAACCUGCGACACAAGGUAUAUUGAUCCUCCUUCUCUUAAGAAUAAUCACCAACUCUAUUGACUUCCUCGCCAAUGUCCCUAUGUUCCAAGACAGAACUCUCAACCUAGGAGUUCCCUUGGUACCCUUACAACCCCUGCCCUCACCCCAAAUCACUGACAUGACUUUUAACUACCAUCAAACCUUUUGAAGCCACUAAUGCCAGUUAUAGAAUAAUCAAAAGUAAAUAAUCAAGUGGGGCAACCCGUAACGUCAAAAACCCUAGAUCCAAAAGUGGCAGUCACACAAUACAAUGAAGAAAAUAAAAAGAAGCAAUAAACUAUAGCAAAGAUACCAGUUCAAAGUAGGAACAAAGAAAAUGUAGUAAUAUUCACAAGGGCACAAUAAUAAAUUCACAAACACAAUAUCAGAUUUAAUAAAAUCAGUUAACAAUCAAGAAACGAUAAGGUCUGAACAAUCUCUCAAGGAAAAAUCAGGUCUAGAUAAGACAGGAAAAUAUAUAAAAGGGAUGGUGGAUCAUACCUAGGAGUUGAUGGGGAUAAAAAUAAACUAUGGACUGAUUUUCCGAAACCCAGCGAGCUCCGAUAUACUCCUGUCGUCUGUCGGUCGUCGGUCAUCAGGAUGGGGUCGCUGGAUUCUUGCUGACCGGUGUGGAAGUGCAACAAAAAAAAAACAGAGAAAGGGAGAAAGAAAGAGGGCAGGGGGAUUUCGUACCUGGUCGCCGGUGGUGGUGAGAGGUCAGGCCAGCAGCUUGCAGUGCAGGAGAGUAGUGGGUGAUCUGCUUUGGGGGGGGGGAGGGAAUUAUUUUACUGUUGAGCGCUAGAGAAAAGAAUAAGUCCCUGUUGAAUAUUAUACAGUUAACCACUGUCAGAUUAGAUGAUAGCAUUCCUCCUUAAAAUAUCAUGCAAAUAAAUGCAGUCUGCCAAGAGGUUAACUAUUUUGCAUGGUUCCUUAACACAACAAGCAAAUCCUUUUUAAUCUUUCCACCAUCAAGCUAGUUCAACUAUGUUGUAUGGUGCCAUAAGAUGGUGAUGAAAAUGUGUGUACACAUCCUAAAAGUCUAUAUAUGUUUCACAGAAAGAUAUUUCCUCUUGUUUUGCCAAAGAUAUUCCCCGCUAUACGUACUCUAGUUUCGUGACGCUUUUGUUCUCGUACAGUACAUUCUUAACCUUUUAAAGAAAAUCUUAAUUGUCAAUGGUCAUUGUGCUUUAGUUUCUGAGAUAAGUUACCUGUAAGAUUUUAUUCAUAUUUUGUCCCAUUUAAAUGCUAAUUAAUUGUGAACUCAAACAGAAACCCCCCUAUGGAGACCUGGGCCAACUGCAAAACCAGUGCUCUGCAAUGCGUGUGGAAUAAGAUGGCGAACUAGGGGAACACUAGAUGACUAUCUUCCCAAACAUGCAAGCAACGAAAAACAGAGCCAUCAGUUACCUUCUGAGAUGAAGCCGCAUCUCUUAGCUCGUGAUGACCAAAAGCUGGAAGUUGGUGAAGAGAUUUCUGGACAGGAUGGCUCUUCAGCUUGUCUUGAAGAGGAAAUGAUUCACAUAUCAAGCUUAGGUUCAGCAGGAUCAUCCCCAGACAAAUGCAUGCAAAUGGAAGAAACAAAUGGUAAAAAAAUUUCACUUAUAUAUACAUGAUGGACUUAACUGCACCAUCUCUUUUGACUCUUGCUGCCACCUCUCCUAACCCAGCUCUUUAACAACUCUAAAGUAUGUUCUGGCAUUGUCCAGUUCAGACUAGAGAUGCUGAGAAACAAAUUCCAGGUUUGCUUAGUAAAUUACAAGGCAAGAAUAGGUGGCUGUCAGUUUCUCUUGUCAAAUUGCAUAAAAAGCACCUAGGGACCAGCUGUCUGCCCUUCUUCUGUAGUACUUCCUGUGUUAAACAUGCCCUCUUUAUCAGUAGCCAAGUGAGACAUUUCACUUUUGUAGGAAUGUCCCCACUCCAGAAAUAGUUCCAGAGAUGUUUUGGAUCCCCAACCAUCAGCUGGAGACCUCUUCUGUAGACACUGCUAACUGAAUAAAGACCACUUUUUUUAAUGAUUCCACAACAUCUUGUCUGUGGAAAUUGUAUACAUACUCAUUCCACCUAUCUUCCCUAGUAACUCUGCAACCUUUUCCACCUCCCAAUCAUUUACAAGUCUUCUGAAGGCUAAAUCCCAUCCCUGUUCUGGCCCAACAGGCACCUACAUUAGCAUCAGGAUUCACACAAAUUUGGAAGAGAUUCUUUAGAGGGAACUGUUCUAUCCAGAAAUCUUUCCAAAAUCUUGUUUUACUGUCAUUUCCCACUUUGAUAUAAAAGUCUGCCUUCAUUUGAGGCCACAAACUUCUGAUUGUUCUCCAUACUCCCACACCCCUUAAGGUUCAACUGUGUUCUCUGUACACCAUGGGGUUAGCUCACCAUACUCGGCUUUAAUCACCUCUUUCCAGAAAGCAUUUCUCUCCUCAAUGUACCUCCACAAACGACUUCUUCAGAAGACUUCCAUUUUACAAUCUCAAAUUUCAAAUUCCCAGCACCCCCCCCCCUGUCUUUGUUAAGGAGUACAGUCUUCCAGUUUACCACAGGAGAGGAGUUUAGAUGCCCCGAAAGGACCUCUAAAGGUUUAUCUUGGAGUCCAUGUCUGGGAGCGACAAGUAUUUGUAAGAUAGUAUCUAGGUCGUGUCCUGAAUCAAAUCCUUUCUUAAGUGUAAGGGUUAUAAGAAAGUGGAAAACUAAUAUAUUUAACCAUACAAAUUUUUGUAACAGCUUACCCCCCACUCCCACACACAAAAAAGAAAAGAAAAUAUCUAUUGUAUUAGUACCUUAUUGUUUUAUGUGCACUAAUGUUCACCUUCUUUUUGAAGAAGCAGACAAAGAUCCUCACCUGAAUCCUGACAGUGUCCCAAGAAGAAAGAUAUCAAAGCUUAGACAUAGCAUUUUGUCACCUGCUCAAAUCCAGAGGACACUUGAUAACAAUCUCCAGGCACCAGGCUUUGAAAUAAUAUCUGACGGAGAUGAACCUGUUACUCUAAUUUAUGCAAGGAACAAAUACAUUCCUCCUAAUGAGAUUGGUCUUGGAGCUAUGCUGCUAGUAUCACCAACUACUACUAUAGAACGCUCGACGCCUCAAUCAGCAAUGGCAGAAGAUACUGUCUCUUGCUCAAUGGAUGUUUCUAAAUAAAAUUCAUCUACAAGUGAAUUUUUAGAUACAUGCAUAACAGUCAAGCUGGUAUGUGAAGCCAGCUCUUAUUGUCUAGCUAGUGCAAUGUUGGCUAAAAACAAUUUGGGCUGUUCCAACUUUACGGAUUUCCCCAACAGCAACUCGCAACAGUCUGGGUGUUUUGAGACCAUCUAGUUUGUCUUGUUCUGGAUAUUCAUAAUUUCUUCUGCUUUAUUGGAUGGAAUUUUUAGACAUGUCAAUUCUGCUUUUUGGAUGCAUUUAAUAUGUCAAUUCCGAAGUUUAUAACGCGUGCUUACCUACAAGUUUUUCAGUUUGUGUGGACUACACAGUAGACUAAAAUUGUAACAUCACAAAGGCCAUUUGACGUACAUAUGUUUGGCAUUACAACUGUAAUGUCUUGCAUUGUACUUGUUUCAGGAGAAACAACAAUGUACUAGAUCAUGUGGCUAUGCAAAAUGAAACUACUGGAAAUAAGGAUGGAAAAGCAAAUGCAUGUGAUAAUGGACUCGCUCCACAUCAUAUGGAUACUACAUCAAGGGUAUGUCAAUAAAUUGUUCUAAAAAAGGCUGCUGCUAUUGAAUUUUCUUCUGUAUAUGGAGAUGAACAUCUUAUUAUUAAAGAAAUAGGCAUAUCAGCCUCAGCAUAAGAUAUGCUCAACCACAAAAAGUUCAAAAAUAAGUCUACCAAAAAGUCUCUUCGAUCUCCUUUUAAGUUAUUAGGACAAGUUAAUAAGACACUACACCUUCCAAUAAUUGCUACACUAAAGAGAAGCUAGAGAGCCAUUAUUAAAUAAUCCAAGAGCAAUUGAGACCGAGAAUAAUUUAGUACUGAGUUUCAUUAAUGCCCCCAAGUGGCAACAUAGCACUCUUCAAAAUAGAUUUAUACUUUUAUAUUACUUAGUAGACUUUGAAGUAAUAAGAAGUAGACUUAGUAAAAGUUAAACGACAACACUCCUUUGGUGACAUUCCUGAUUCCACAACUUAUAUUGCUACUCUAGCAACAAAUAUUGCAGAAACCAAAACAAUGAAUUAACUAUUCACAACCAUAAAACUUCAUAGAAGGCCAUGAAGUACUAAAACAAAAGAAAGGGGCAAAAGAGAGUGAAAGAUAUUACUCCUUCGAAAAGGAAAAUGGGACGUGGGAAAAGAUGUGAAAUGUUAGAAUCUGUCAUUCUUUUGUUCAGUGGCAGAGCAAUGUAAGUAAUGAUAGCUGAAAAAGGAAACAGAUAAGCAUAUCUUAGGCUCCGGAGCAUCAUACAACUGAAAAAGGCUACUUAUGGGUUGUACUUUCGUAUUCUUAGUUUUGUUUGAAACAUAGGAUGCUUAAGAUACAAUUUUAUGCCAAAAAAGAAAAAGAAAAAUGGUGGAGUGAAGAUUUUCUACUAUAUACUCAAGUACAAGAAUGAAUCUUGAUGGAAGGAACAUAACAUGAUAGCUUAACACAAAACUUGCAACUGUGGAUUUCAAAGUCAAAAAAUACACCUUGUUGUCUUUCGGUUUAACUUUCCUUCUUUAUCGGCAAGCCUAUUUCUGUAUUUUUGCUUCAGGGUAUAUGCUUGUGACGUUACAACUACAUCCCGAGCAGACGAUAUAGGAUGCUUAGGGGUUGUACCUUCGUAUUCUUAAUUUUGUUUGAAACAUAGGAUGCUUAAUAUACAAUUUUAUGCCAAAAAAGAAAUUUAAAAAUUGUGGAGCGAAGAUUUUCUUCAAUAUACUCAAGUACAAGAAUGAAACUUGAUGGAAGGAACACAACAUGAUAGCUUAACACAACUUGCAACUGAGGAUUUCAAAGUCAAAAAAUACACCUUGUUGUCUUUCGGUUUAACUUUCCUUCUUUAUCGGCAAGCCUAUUUCUGUAUUUUUGCUUCAGGGUAUAUGCUUGUGACGUUACAACUACAUCCCGAGCAGACGAUAUAGGAUGCUUAGGGGUUGUACCUUCGUAUUCUUAAUUUUGUUUGAAACAUAGGAUGCUUAACCUACAAAGUUAAUUAUUUCAUCAAAAGGGAAGUAGAAUUUAUGGGAGAUACAAUUUUAUGCCAAAAAAGAAAAAGAAAAAUGGUGGAGUGAAGAUUUUCUACUAUAUACUCAAGUACAAGAAUGAAUCUUGAUGGAAGGAACAUAACAUGAUAGCUUAACACAAAACUUGCAACUAAGGAUUCCAAAGUCAAAAAAUACGGUUUGUUGCCUUCGGUUUAACUUCCCUUCUUUAUCGGCAGGCCUAGUUCUGUAUUUUUGCUUCAGGUGUAUGCUUGUGAUGUUACAACUACAUCCAGAGUAGACGAUAUAGAAAGUAGUUAAUGGACAUGUACUUUCACUAAUAUUGUUGUUCCACACACCAUAUAAAAUCCUUUUACUUGUCAAAAUAAUCAUUAUACAUCAACAGCAAAACAUAUGAUUUUAAAAAAUAACAAUCAAGUCAUCUUGGUUUCCUAAAAUGACACUUAUUUCAUAUCAACUUUGAAAGGCUAAAACAACAUUUAAAAUGGACUGGAGGUAGUACCAUUUAUUUUCUUUUUUCUUCAUAGUGCUAUUUCUUUGAUAAGGUAAACUUAACCCCAUACCCAAGAGCCCAAUAAUGACUCUUUUUCUCACAUUGCGCCAUCAGUGACUCAAACCUCUUGUUAUAUAUAAAGGUGGAGGUUCCUUACCACUAGACCAUCCCUCCGUGUCACAUUUAUAUACUACUUAUAUAAGAGCUUUUAGGAGUUAUAUGUUACAUGCAGUAGUCAAUUCCGUACUCCAAUGUUGCUCUCUUCCAAUCACACCUCAUUUCUAACAUUUAAGUCCUUCUAUUCCCUAGGCCAAAUUUGUGUUGUAUAACCUCUUUCCAUAGUGCAUGCUCCUCUUGGUUGUACCUCCAUAGCCACUUGCUUAGCAGACUUUUGUUAUGUAACAUGAGCUUCCUUACUCCCAGACCCCCAUUAUUCCCCCUUUGUUGAACUUCUGCCCAUUUUACUAAAUUGAAACUGUUAGAAUAUGAAUAGGUUUAUACAAUCCUAUUAGAAUAGGAAUAGGUUUAUACAAUCCUAUUAGAAUAGGAAUAGGUUUAUACAAUCCUAUUAGAAUAGGAAUAGGUUUAUACAAUCCUAUUAGAAUAGGAAUAGGUUUAUACAAUCCUAUUAGAAUAGGAAUAGGUUUAUACAAUCCUAUUAGAAUAGGAAUAGGUUUAUACAAUCCUAUUAGAAUAGGAAUAGGUUUAUACAAUCCUAUUAGAAUAGGAAUAGGUUUAUACAAUCCUAUUAGAAUAAGAAUAGGUUUAUACAAUCCUAUUUAGAAUAGGAAUAUGAAUACAAAUAGGAAUAGUUAAUAGUAUCCAACUUGGUAAAUGAUUGUAUUCUAGUGUCUAUAAAUAGGGUCUCAAUGUAAUAAUGUAGAGACAACAACAAUUCAAUAAUAUUCUUUUUCAACAUUUCUCACAAUUGAGACAACAUUCCUCCAUAUGAUAUCAAAUUCACUUUGUCCCAUUUCAUCGCAUCCAGUCAUCAUUUAUGUGCUACAACUUAAUGCAAUAAAGUCAAGCUAAAACCAACUUAUCAUCAAAAAAUACAUGUUAUGGUAAAAACCUUAUCAUCAAAAGAAAUCUACCAUUGUCUUUUCAUCACUACUCAUAUCUACAAAUUAAUUACUUCUUGAAGUGACAAAAGAUGUUCUCUUUAGCUUAAUAUAUUUUCUAGCCCUUUGAUUCCAAUAAUUUAGCUGUAUUGUCUUAACAUGUACAUUCAUAGUGCAAUAUUAUCCAAAGUAUGUACAACUAAUUGACAUGACAAGUUUUAGUAUGAUUGCAAGUAUCACGAUGAGUCAUGGUAACCAUACUUGUUCAACCUGAUAAAAGAAAAUAGCAAUCAGAUAAUCCCCACAGCCAAAAAUAGUGCUAACAUAGAGACUUGAAAUUAGUGCUAGAAAGGAAUCGUAAAAAGCAUUUCAAAGUUAAGAGAAUAUGAGGACAAAUCAAAGCACCGGUACCUACUACUCUAUUUAAGUAACCUUACCAUUAUGUCAAUAAAGACUACAAUCAUAAGGAAAAAUCCAACAAUUUAUCCGUAACUCCUCCAUGUUUUUGUUUGUUCCACUUCAUUGCUCUUUUCUUUUUCGUCAAGUAACUGAAUCUAUGUUUCCUUCCUUUGCAUCUGUUGCAAAUAACACAUCUUCUGUCUCUUUUCCUCAUAAUCUCUUGGGUAACUUAUCAAUCCAUCAAAAAAAAAAAUGUAAUUAAGAGGUUAUAUUUAUAUCCUUCGAGUAUAAACAUAUUGAUACUUGAAACUGCACAACUGAGUCCAUCUGGAAGAUCAGCACCUAAAAUCCUAAAUGAGCAAAAUGAAUAGUUUCAUUUGUACUAACUGCCAGAAAACUAAAUAAAAAAUCUUCUAGUUAAGAUAACAGCUGCAUUAUUAAUCAUCCAGUUUGUGAGGUAUUUCCAUUCAUUCCAAUAAACUGAAACAGAAAAUGUGGAAAGCACCCGAAGUAGUAAACAACUAAUAGACUCAUCACACGGAGGUAGAGACACAAUUUGAUCUGUUGAAAACACAAUUCAACAAUCAGUUUAUUUAUUUCUAUGGAUACAAUACACUUCUUAAUUUUAAGAAACUUCUUCUUCCAAACAUCUCUUUGGCUUUUAUCUAAGAAUUGACAUGCCACCUCUGUUCUGUUUUUUUGGUAUAUACAAGAAAAUACAAAUAUACAAGUGUUUCCUCAUCGACAAUCUUCUUUGCAGUCUAGAACUAAAAUUGAGAAUUUCAAAAGCAAGUCAGGUAAUAGUGUAUGUUCAAUCUCUUUUGUGAUUUGGUACAUCCUUGCAUAUUUCAUAACAACUACUUGAGGUACCUUAUUUAAUUACUGCUUGACAUUAAUUGCUCGAGGUCUCCAGCCAGAAACUAUAUUUUCGAAGAGCUCGGUGUGGAGCAAAAAUAGGAUAUCCUAGAGGUCAACAACGGCUCUCGACAACUUAAGCUACAUCUCUGCUUAAAUUUGUUUCGGUUAAUGAAUCUACUUCUAGAAAGCUCUACAAAAUUGAAAUCAAACAAAUAUCAUAUAUUUGAAAGACAUGUGUUGCUAUAUCUACCGGCAUCAACAGACUUAUGCAGACAUAGGCACAUUUCAAUUAAGUAAAUUUUUUAUAACCGGAGAAAUCCCCGAGGUUCCAAACUCAGUGGAUCUUGAGCACAGCUUCUUCCCACCCACCUCCUAUCCAUCCCCCAACCCCAGCCCACCCAAAAAGAGGGUAGUGAAUUUGAAAGCACUUCUGAACCUUUUUAAUUUAUUAGAAAGCACCUUAAAUAGAAUCUUGUAAAUGCUUCCUACCGGACUAAUAGGUCUAUAGUCCUUUAUACUUGUCACACCUUCCUUCUUUGGCACAUUAGUAACAAAGGAUGCAUUAAGACUUUUCUCGUACUCCCCUGAAUUCUGAAUUCUGCAAUGGUCACCAACAGCUCACAUUUGACUAUCCUCCAACAUUGUUGGAAAAGAGCAAACGAGAAUCCAUCAGGACUUGGAGCCUUGUCACCCAGACAACUAUCCCUCACCUCUUCUUCUUCUACAGCCCUUUCCAACCACUCCCUCACCCCCUCCCCUAUUAGGUUAAAUACUAGCGCCCCCCAGAAUUUUUGUCUCCACCUGAUAACUUCCUUGAACGAAUGUUCAUAAAACCAUACAAUGGCCUCCUCCACUUCCGCCUCCCCCUCACGCGCCUAUAAAAACGAUAAAGUUUCUCUUCCUAUUUGCUAUGGCUACCCUAUGAAAGAAUUUUUUGUUAGAAUUCCCCCUCUUUCAACCACAAUGCCCUCAAAUUUUGCCUCCAACUAGUCUCUUCGGCAACCGCUAGAGCCGCAAGCUCCCUCUUUGCCUACUCAUAUCUGACCUUCUCCCUUUCUUCUAACAUCCUCAUCCCUUCCACAUGCUCAAUCUCCCCCACCUCAUUUAUUAGCUCUCUUAUUUUAAACUUUCACCCUCCCAAACACCUCUUUGUUCCAUUUACUUAUAUCUCCGUUUACAAUUUCAACUUACAGGCAAGUCGAAAAGAUGGUGUGCCAGUUUUUAUUCUUGAAAAACUUCAAACUAUAUUAAAAAUAAAUAUCACAUGACUUGAGCAACUAAAUAUGAUGGGAUCCAGUUUUAGUAGCCCAGUGAUUCAGGCAAUACAAUUUUUAGUCAUUUUAUUCUCGUGACAGGGAAAUUUCCCCAUAGAACUAAGAAGAGAUGUCUAUAGAUAUUUCAUCAUAAGCCAUACCACGGCAUUCAACAAUUUCUUUGCUAAAUUCAUACCUACGAUCAAGUCACAAUAUGUCAGAAAGUGCAAUAACAGUUAUCCUGUUACAAUAAAUAGACACAUAGAAACAUAUACAUUAAGAUGUCAAUAACCUAUAGGUCAAGAUAAAAUACCAACAUAUUCUAUUUGGAAAUACUUCGAAAAUACUCUCCACACAAUUUCUUCUUGUUCCCCUGUAUAAAAGGCAACGUGGUUAACAGAGCACCAAAUCUCAGGUAAGCUUCCUAUAGAC
rnacentral:lncRNA from 1 species